rnacentral:rRNA from 1 species
CAAGUCGAACGGGGUAGCAAUACCUAGUGGCGCACGGGUGAGUAACGCGUGGAUAAUCUGCCUUAGAGUGGGGGAUAACUAGUCGAAAGAUUAGCUAAUACCGCAUAAGACCACAAGAACUGCGGUUCAAGGGGUCAAAGGUUUUUCGCUCUAAGAUGAGUCCGCGUAAGAUUAGCUAGUUGGUGAGGUAAUGGCUCACCAAGGCGACGAUCUUUAACUGGUCUGAGAGGAUGAUCAGUCACACUGGAACUGAGACACGGUCCAGACUCCUACGGGAGGCAGCAGUAGGGAAUAUUGCACAAUGGAGGAAACUCUGAUGCAGCGACGCCGCGUGAGUGAUGAAGGCCUUCGGGUCGUAAAGCUCUGUCGCAGGGGAAUAACACAAUGAAUGUACCCUGUAAGAAAGGAUCGGCUAACUUCGUGCCAGCAGCCGCGGUAAGACGAGGGAUCCUAGCGUUGUUCGGAAUUAUUGGGCGUAAAGCGGAUGUAGGUGGCUUUGUAAGUCAGAUGUGAAAGCCCAGGGCUCAACCCUGGAAGUGCAUUUGAUACUGCGAAGCUUGAGUGUCGGAGAGGUUACUAGAAUUGUUGGUGUAGUGGUGAAAUACGUAGAUAUCAACAGGAAUACCGGAGGCGAAGGCGGGUAACUGGCCGAACACUGACACUGAGAUCCGAAAGCGUGGGGAUCAAACAGGAUUAGAUACCCUGGUAGUCCACGCCGUAAACGAUGGAUACUUGUUGUUAGAGGU